UUUAAACAUAAUCUUGUUAAAUAAGACAAAAAAAAGUAGUUAAAAGUUUUGCUUGGAAUGUUUCUCUUGCUCUGGUGGUGACAACUUUCAAAAAUAUUUCUCUUGUUACUUGGAAUCUUGUUAAUAGAUGGGAAAACUGCGUGCAUAAUUUUUUGGAUAGAAAUUUUAGAGUUUCUCUUUAGAGAAGGAAAUGAGUGUGGAAAUCGCUUAGCGUGGCUCAUGGCUCUAGCUUAACUAAUUUUUGUGUGGAUAGAUAACCUACCUUCUUUUUGUAAAGAAGUCUUUUUACAGAAAUAGACUUGGCCUACCUAACUACAAGUUCUUUUGAUGCAGUUCCCUUUUGGCAUGGGCUUUUGAUUGAUGUGCCCUAAUGUUUUUAAUUUUGUUUUUCUUUUUUCUGAUUAAUAUAUAUCCCAGGUGAUCUUAUGAUGGCUGAGGUAGGGGUAUCAAUAUAGUUGGAUGUCCUACCUCACUAUCAUUCUUCAGUUUACCUUUAAAAAAAAAUUGAAUUUUUUUAGCUUAUAAAAGAGAACGGAUGAAAGGAAGCUUCAUUUAAAUUCUGAAAAAAUUGCUAACAAUUCAAAUUUAAACUUGGGACUCCUUCAAAUAUGUCCAACAAAGUUUAAAUAAGUAGGCCUUAUUUUUACACAAUACAACUAGGCUGUUGCUAUUUACAUUUCAUUAUUUACUAAAUGCACCUCCCUUUCUUUUUUUAAGAAAAUAUUUUCCCCAACAUAUCCUCAUGACUUCUCCUUCUAUAACCCUUCCCACCUCUUUUUCUUCCAGAAACUAUCUAAGGAUGCAAAACCUAUACUCAACAGACCCCCCUUUUACAUACACAUCAAUUAAGCUACAAUAAGUUCAUUGGUUAAUAUGCGAGAGGUAGGUACAUGAUGGUGUUAUCAUUCCUUCAUUCUGUUGAUCAAAGCUAUAGCCUUGUUUGGUCAGUUUUCCUUUCCCUGUGUAGUUCCAUAAAUCACAACAUUCUGCAAAAAGCAACAUCUCGCUAAUGCAUUUUAUCGAGCACUUUCUGUGCGACAUCAAGACCAUUGGUUUUAGAGUAUAGAUCUAACAAAGUGGUUAGCAACAAGGUAUCGUCUUUGAACCCAAAACACAAAAGCUAAGAAUGAAUCUGGGGGGCUCUAGAAAAAGUGAAAUGAUGAAUAAGUAGGAAGGUGAAUGUAGUGAGUGGAACUAGAAACGUGCAAUUAUCAAUAGCAUUCAUGGAAGGAAGAAAUACUGUGAUUUUGAAGAAAAGAAGCGCAUGGCAUACACGGUGUGCACACCUAUUAAUCAAGUUGAUAGGAAAAAAUUCAUUUUGUGUGCUUUCUUGAGAGGUCCUGAUCUCCGUUUGGAAAACAUCACUUGCUGGCUUGUUUUGUUCUUGAUUUGCUUCACCUGAAACCUACCCCUUUCUAUCUCGGUGCUUAAUUCUCCAAUGUAACUAUCAAUCACAGGUGUAGGGUGUUUUGAUUCGCCGAAAAUAUUCACAGCGAAGGAGAAGUCACUAUGAUAGAGGUAACGCAUAAGAACUUGGUGCGGGAAGAGUAGAAUCCAGAAAUUUCAUUAUGGAGUGUAAAGGGAGGUUUGGAAGUUUAUUUCAGAAUAAGAAAAUGAGGAUAAUUGGGGAAAAGAAAAAAGGGAGUGUAAUAGCAACAAGAGGAGGUGUAAAUAGUAAUUUCCUACAACUAUGCUCCCUCCAACCAACCAAAGGUAAAAUAACUAAAACACAAACUUUAACUACACCAACAAAAAUAUAUUUUCUUUUAAUUUUUUUACAGCAAAAAGGUCACAUUGAUUAGAAAAAAUGUCACCUAUAUUGACGAAAAGAUUUAAUGUAUAAUUUUCUCAUUUAAAGUGAAAUAUUUAUGUUAAAAUUUAUUUUAGAUUUCAUUUAUCAUUGGAUUAAUUCUCAUUAUCGUUGGACUAAACCUUAAUCAAUCUUGAAUACUAAUUGACAAAUUUUACAAAACACUAUGGUGCACAAUUAUGACAUUUUCAUACCAUAUAAAUAUUAAAGGGGAGUCCAAACGACUUUGACCUUAAUUUGAUUUGUACGUUGAUAACAAAAUAAGGAAGAACUAUUCUCUAUCUGGCGGUUAUUAGGGUUUCACACAAUUUUGUAUCACAAAAUUGUAUAAUGAAACAAUAGAUUUAUAUAUAGCUUUUAAAUGAAAGUAAAGACUUCUCAUUUGGACACUAAAUGAGAACUCAAUCCAUUGUAAAUUCAUUUACCACAUUUUAUAUUUUUUUAUUCAUCAAUAUAAUUUAAAAAAUGCAUUAAUUAAUUCCAUAUCAAUAUCAAUUAAUAAUCACAAUUAAUUUAAUUAUUAAAUAAUGUUAAUUGAAAAAAAAUCAAUACAUCAAUUAAUCAUACAAGUUAGGCAGGCAAUAGUUCUGUCAAUAAUAAAAAAAAAAAAAGGCAAGCAAUAGUACAAUGACACAAUGGGUUCAUUCAUAUUCGUAGAUAUUCAAUCAUACAAGUUACGCAAGCAGUUGUAAAAUGACACACAUUGGAUUCAUUUAUAUUCGUACAUGCCUUGCCUCCAUUAAUAAACGUAAAUUCCAUGUGGUGAUCACUGAGAUGAAAGCAAGAGAAAGAAAAAGAAGAAAAAAGGGAAGGUUGGAAGAAAAAAAGUGAUAUAUGUAAAAAGUGUUGUGAUGAGAAAGAAUACGAGAUGGAAAUAAUAGAAGAAAAGGCGAAUGCAUGUAUGAUUAUAAAUUGUAAUAUAAACUCAUUAAGUAGUACUGCAUUAAUUUUAAUUAAUGUGAAAGAUGAAGGUUCUGCAUGCAAAAAGCCAUCAAAGCAUCCAAAUAAGGAGGAUAUAAAUAGCAGCCAUAUGUAUAAGAAAUUGAUUCCGAAGGAGAUGAAAUAUAAACGAUUAACAACAGAUGAACGAGAUGGAUGUGUCUGACCUUAAUCUAUAAAAUAAAGAUUCCCUUCCAAAAUUCAAUAGGGCAUAUACUACUUCUCAAGUUUUCUUGGUCUAAUUAAUGUGGAAAUUAGUACUUACAACUGGUUUGCUUUGAUGUUGUUGUUUCUGGGGUUUAUGAGGCAAGUGAUGUGCCAAACCAUUAGCAAACAUAAGUUUAUAAUAGUAAAUUGUAAAGUAAACUUAAAGAAGAUAAAAUUUAGACAUUUAGUUAGGCACUGUACGUGAACAAACAAAAGCAUGAAGAUGAUGCUAACCUGCCAGCUAAUUAACCAUAUAUAAAACAUUGAUGGUCUCAUAGAGAAUAAGUUUUUUUUUUUUAUCAAAUUAUUCCUUCAGACCCUAAACACAUUAUUUGACACCAAUAAAUUAUUAAUCCGAAUAAUAUUAGAUUUGAUCACAUUAUAAGUUAAAGUUUUAAGAAUAAAAAAACAUGACUAAAUAAGAAAAAUCACAUCAAAAUUAAGUUUUUUGAUAAAAAUAUUUAUCAAUAAAAUUAGUAGAUAUUUCUUACUAAUAAUAUAAUUAUUUAAAAAAACAUGCACAAGGUAUUUAACUCAUUGAGCUUAUAGAUUGCAUUUAUACAUAUUAAUAAUAAUACCCUUUACGAAUUUAUGCCUACCGACAUAAUUAUAUGGAGUAUACAAAGAGAGACAGAAAACCGCAGUAAAUAAGUUUCAUAUUAGAUGCUAAUGUUUUUUUUAUGCAAUUAGAUGCUAAUAUAAAUAUCAGUAAGCAGAACAUUAUAUACAUUACGCCAUAUGUGAACAUCAAUAACUAAUACAUCGAUUAGUACUUCAUACAGUAACUCCAAUUAAAGCCUCAAGUUAGGUUUAGCAAAUUAAGGUUGUUUCAAGUCCUCCACAUGUAUGAUCAAAUUACGCCAAUUAGAAGGUCAUGGUUAUAUUCUGAGCCAAUUUAGUCUUCUGGGUUUGGCUUCUCAUGGGUUUUUUUUCGAUUCAGUAUUAAUUGUUACUGAAUUGUUAGUGGAAGAAAUUUAAAUUCAUGAUUUCACUAAGUCAAUUUUCUGGAUUUGAUUUCUCAUAGAUGUUUGUUUAGGUUAUCUAAUUGAGUAAUGAUAUUCGGACCAUCCCUUUAUUUUAGACAUUCUAUUAAUAUUUUUUUCUAUCAUAUCAUAAAUCUUAUAAUACAUAUAUUAAUUUUUCUCUCUUUCACUAGCUAGGGGUCAGUAAUAGCAUGCAUGUGGAGUGUUCAUUUAUCUUUUUCCUAUCUAAUUUUAGUCUCAUUUGUUAGUGUCUUUGGGCUCUUUCACACAUGCAUCUGUACAAUUUUUUGACUAUGAGAUGGAAGAAAAAUGGCAAAAAUGUUGAAGUUACCUAUACUAUAUAUGAAUAAAAGUCCCAUGAAUCUGAUUUUGUUAANNNNNNNNNNNNNNNNNNNNNNNNNNNNNNNNNNNNNNNNNNNNNNNNNNNNNNNNNNNNNNNNNNNNNNNNNNNNNNNNNNNNNNNNNNNNNNNNNNNNAACCAUUUAUGAAGUAUGGCCUAUAGAUAAAGUCAAAUUUCCUACUUCGAACCCAAUACAUUAUUAUAUGUUAGAGAGAGAGAGAUAAAGAGUCUUGUAAACAUAACUUCAUAUAUAUAAUAUAUAAUCAUAUAAAUAUACUAUCAGUUACAACUGAUGGGUAAGCUGUAAGCAUAACAUUAAACAGUACUACAUAUACUAUGUUUUAUGUAAAUAUCAGUAAACUAUGUAUAGUGUAAGCAAGUCUAUAGAAGCUUACACAUAUUACUACAUAAAUAAAUAUAUAUAGAUAAAUACCCCAUGUCAUAUAAGCCAUACAAGUGCAGCAAACGUGAGAAUGAUGAAUAACACAAGCUCAAGUUUCUUCAUACUUUGCAGCACUUCGUCCCAAUCAAUCCAUUAUGCUGCCGGUGCUAUAUCAAUCCCACCGUCAUCGUCAUCGUCGUCGUCAUCAUCAUCAGUUUCUUGAUGAAUAGGAAACCUAGUUGCUGGCCAGUCAUUGCCCUUAGAAAACAAAGGCAGGCCUGAUUUUGUGCAAGAAACGAAAACCACCAUAUUGCAGUGUUUAUAAGACACAGAUGGCAGCUAUACUAUCACAAACUGCACUGGUUCUAAGUUGCUUUGGUUGACUCUAUGAAGUCAUGGGUCUCCCACUUAUUUAUACCCGUAAAUUAGUCUAUUUUUUAUAUAAAUAAAAAAUAAUAUUCGAUGAAUUUUCUACUUUUAAAAUAUAUAGUCUAAUCUCUACACACAAUGGCGGGUCUACGUAUGAAUGAG
rnacentral:lncRNA from 1 species